rnacentral:rRNA from 1 species
GGUUAAGCGACUAAGCGUACACGGUGGAUGCCUAGGCAAUCAGAGGCGAUGAAGGACGUGCUAAUCUGCGAUAAGCGUCGGUAAGGUGAUAUGAACCGUUAUACCCGACGAUAUCCGAAUGGGGAAACCCAGUAUCCAAUGGAUACUAUCAUUAACUGAAUCCAUAGGUUAAUGAGGCGAACCGGGAGAACUGAAACAUCUCAGUACCCCGAGGAAAAGAAAUCAACCGAGAUUCCCCUAGUAGCGGCGAGCGAACGGGGAGCAGCCCAGAGUCUUAAUCAAUAGCAGUGUCAGGAGAACGGUCUGGAAAGUCCGGCAGUAAAGGGUGAUAGCCCCGUAUCUGAAGAUGCUGUUAUUGUGAACUCGACGAGUAGGGCGGGACACGUGUUAUCCUGUCUGAAUAUGGGGGGACCAUCCUCCAAGGCUAAAUACUCCUGAUUGACCGAUAGUGAACCAGUACCGUGAGGGAAAGGCGAAAAGAACCCCGGCGAGGGGAGUGAAAAAGAACCUGAAACCGUGUACGUACAAGCAGUAGGAGCCUCUUUAUGGGGUGACUGCGUACCUUUUGUAUAAUGGGUCAGCGACUUAUAUUCUGUAGCAAGGUUAACCGUAUAGGGGAGCCGUAGGGAAACCGAGUCUUAACUGGGCGAAUGAGUUGCAGGGUAUAGACCCGAAACCCGGUGAUCUAGCCAUGGGCAGGUUGAAGGUUGGGUAACACUAACUGGAGGACCGAACCGACUAAUGUUGAAAAAUUAGCGGAUGACUUGUGGCUGGGGGUGA